UAACGUUUGUUCCUUCUAACGAGCAUUUGUGAUUCAUUUCAACUCUUGCGAAUAUUACAAGAAGUCCCUCACAUGUGUCUCUAAGAAGAAAAGCCAUGUGACUGGGAGGGGGGUCUGCCCGUGUUCAAGCCCCUGCUAGGAAGGCUCCCACUCCAUCAGUCCUUGAAGGCCACCCUGACACAGCCUUAACCAGCUUGGAUGCAGCCAAUACACUGCAAGCUUCAUCUCUGUGUUUCGUACAUUUUCAAAACUACAUCUGAACAAACCACAAGUAUAAAACUGGGAAAGUGCAGUGGAACACGUACCCUGAGUAGGAGGACUUUUAUUAAUGGAGACCCAUGCUUCCUGCUCAUCACAUUGGCAAUCGUCAAAACCAACAUAUAAAAGAACAGAUUAGAGUUAAUGACAUUAGUAUCCCUCUUCUUUCAUCUUAAAAACAGCUUGGAUGCAGCCAAUACACUGCAAGCUUCAUCUCUGUGUUUCGUACAUUUUCAAAACUACAUCUGAGCAAACCGCAAGUGUAAAAGUGAGGAAGUUGCAGUGGAACACGUACCCUGAGUAGGAGGACUUUUAUUAAUGGAGACCCAUGCUUCCUGCUCAUCACAUUGGCAAUCAAGUCAAAACCAACAUAUAAAGGAACAGAUUAGUGUUAAUGACAUUAGGGUCAUGGUGGUGAUGGCGGUGGUGGGAAGAGCGUCUGAGGAACCCACCAAGAUGUCCAGGCUGCGAGGCUGACUCCAGCACCUGCCACCCUCCUUCCCCUUUCUCCUCCACUCCAAGGCCAUGCAGGAGGGCCCUGCGGCCCAGCAGGAACAGAUGAGCAGCAAUAGUAAGAAGUGAGCACUCACAACAGCCACCCAGAGACACAAAGAGGACUGAGUACCUGAGCAUUAAAAAAGACUCAGUGCCUUAUAUAUGUGCUAAGCCUCUACAGUCAAUUACCCUUGAAUGGCAUUACAGUGAGGAAGGGCAGGAUAUCAAUCAAUCAAUCAAUCAAUCAGGAAAGAAAGAAAGAAAGAAAG